GUGGUUGUAGCUCAGUUGGUUAGAGCACCAGAUUGUGGUUCUGGGGGUCGUGGGUUCGAACCCCAUCAUCCACC
rfam:Chitinophaga sancti strain DSM 784 genome assembly, contig: LX65DRAFT_scaffold00014.14